CCUACGGGAGGCAGCAGCAAGGAAUAUUGUGCAAUGGGCGAAAGUCUGACACAGCGACGCCGCGUGGGGGAAGAAGGCCUUCGGGUUGUAAACCCCUUUUCUCAGGGAAGAUGAUGACGGUACCUGAGGAAUAAGUCUCGGCUAACUACGUGCCAGCAGCCGCGGUAAU
rnacentral:rRNA from 1 species